AUGCGUCUGUACAUCAGUGACUAUCUAAGUAGAAGCAGACAGUCUAGUAUCCCCGGACCUCCAGGUCCACCUGGACUUCCAGGAACCCCAGGAACCCCAGGAACCUUCUCAGGCUCUAUCGAUGACAUCGCCACUCGUGUCAUUGCAUAUCUACAACGUUCUGGCUCAGGCUCCAGCAUUGGUCGUCAGGGUCUUCCAGGACCACCUGGUCCACCUGGACCCGGCUCUGGGUCCCUGACGGUCAGCGGUCUCAUUAUGAUGCUUCAGAGAGACGAUGUGAGGAGAUAUCUAUCCGGACCACCAGGGCCACAAGGACCACCGGGACCACCCGGCCAAUCAGGUGGCAUUUCAAGCAGUUACAAUAUCGAGGAGAUAGCCACAUACGUCUUUAAUACGAUGAGAGAAAGAGGGAUUGCAAGAGGUCCGCCCGGACCGCCCGGUCCUGCUGGGCCUGCUGGUGCCGGGGGCUCUGGCUUCACUACCGCUACGAUUGACUAUACCGCACUGAUGAGAAAUUCAGACUUCCGCUCUUGGAUUAAUUCGGCGGUACAACACGGCCCUCCUGGUUCGCCUGGUGUCCCGGGGCAACCUGGCCCCCCUGGUCCUCAGGGGCCAGCAGGAGUCUCCACUUCCACUGUGGUUGGGUCGGGAGGUCGUGGCUACAGUUUGGAGGAAAUUCAGCGUUACCUGCAGAGUUCUGGUUUCCGAGGUAUUGCCGGCCCUCCUGGUCCUCAGGGUCCACAGGGACCUCAGGGUCCACCAGGCAGUUACAGUGGACUGAUUUCCUAUGAUGGAAAUCGGGAGCGUCUUCGCGCCGAAGUUCAAGAGUACCUGACCAGUGACGUUGUCCGUCGUUCCAUCAUUGGACCCCCGGGUUCUCCAGGGCCGAGGGGUCAGAAGGGAGAACAAGGAGAGCCGGGCUACACCCAGGGCUACGCCCAGAGCCAGAGCUACGCCGCGAGUGACCCUAGAUACGGCUCUGAGCGCCGCAGUGCCGACAUCAGCAGGCUCGCUGAGAACCUGGAUUACUCCAGCGUCGCCAUAAAAGUCACAGACUACAUCAAGAAUCAAGGCCUGCUGCAGGAGUAUCUGGUUGAGGGCCCUUUGAGGGCGAAUGUGAGAGCAAUCCAAGGCCCUCCCGGUCCACCUGGCCCCGCCGGACCUCCCGGUCAGAGCCGCGUCAUCGGUUCCUAUGGCAACGUCACGGCUGACCUCAUGGCGUUCUUCAGAACGUACGGCACCAUCUCCGGACCUCCAGGGGGCCCUGGACCAAAGGGUGACAGAGGGUACCCGGGACCCAGAGGAGAAAAGGGUGACCCCGGGCACCCAGGUUUGGCGGGACUACCGGGGGCCUACACUGUCCAAAUUCCACACCGGGUGCAGAAAAGGGAUGCAGGUGGUAAAGUCGUUGGUCGUCGCCACCGUCGUCACGCCAACGGUGGCUAA
ensembl:lncRNA